GAAUUCGCCCUUAGAGUUUGAUCCUGGCUCAGGACGAACGCUGGCGGCGUGCCUAACACAUGCAAGUCGAACGAAGCUCUGCGAUACAAGACUUCGGUCAAGUUGAACGGAUGACUUAGUGGCGGACGGGUGAGUAACGCGUGAGGAACCUGCCUUUCAGUGGGGGACAACAGUUGGAAACGACUGCUAAUACCGCAUAAUGUAUUCUGACCGCAUGAUCGGAAUACCAAAGAUUUAUUGCUGAAAGAUGGCCUCGCGUCUGAUUAGAUAGUUGGUGAGGUAACGGCCCACCAAGUCGACGAUCAGUAGCCGGACUGAGAGGUUGAACGGCCACAUUGGGACUGAGAUACGGCCCAGACUCCUACGGGAGGCAGCAGUGGGGAAUAUUGCACAAUGGGGGAAACCCUGAUGUAGCGACGCCGCGUGGAGGAAGAAGGUCUUCGGAUUGUAAACUCCUGUUGUUGAGGAAGAUAAUGACGGUACUCAACAAGGAAGUGACGGCUAACUACGUGCCAGCAGCCGCGGUAAAACGUAGGUCACAAGCGUUGUCCGGAAUUACUGGGUGUAAAGGGAGCGCAGGCGGGAAGACAAGUUGGAAGUGAAAUCUAUGGGCUCAACCCAUAAACUGCUUUCAAAACUGUUUUUCUUGAGUAGUGCAGAGGUAGGCGGAAUUCCCGGUGUAGCGGUGGAAUGCGUAGAUAUCGGGAGGAACACCAGUGGCGAAGGCGGAUUGCUGGACGACAACUGACGGUGAGGCGCGAAAGCGUGGGGAGCAGACAGGAUUAGAUACCCUGGUAGUCCACGCUGUAAACGAU
rnacentral:rRNA from 1 species